rnacentral:rRNA from 1 species
UACGUAGGGAGCAAGCGUUGUCCGGAAUCAUUGGGCGUAAAGCGCGCGUAGGUGGCUUCGUAAGUCCGUUGUGAAAGUCAAAGGCUCAACCUUUGAAAGCCGAUGGAUACUGCGGAGCUAGAGUACGGAAGAGGCGAGUGGAAUUCCCGGUGUAGCGGUGAAAUGCGCAGAUAUCGGGAGGAACACCAAUGGCGAAGGCAGCUCGCUGGGACGGUACUGACGCUGAGGCGCGAAAGCGUGGGGAGCAAACAGG